rnacentral:misc_RNA from 1 species
AACUGAUACUACCUGCGGGAACCUGCGGAAGGAUCAUUACCGAGUUCUCGCCCCUCGCGGGGUAGACCUCCCACCCACUGUGAUCACUACCGUCGUUGCUUUGGCGGGCCGCUGGGCCCAGCCCACCGCCGGCUCCGGCUGGCGCGUGCCCGCCAGAGGCCCUACAAACGCUGGAUAUCAGUGCCGUCUGAGUACACAUGUUAAUCGUUAAAACUUUCAACAACGGAUCUCUAGAUCGGA